CCGAUGACGCAGAGAAGGGCGCACGGGGGAUGCCUAGGCUCUCAGAGGCGAUGAAGGACGCGACAAGCUGCGAUAAGCUGCGGGGAUUGGCACAUACAAGUUGAUCCGCAGAUUUCCGAAUGGGGCAACCCACUGUGUUGAAGACACAGUACACCUUAGGGUGAGCGAACCCGGGGAACUGAAACAUCUAAGUACCCGGAGGAAGAGAAAACAAGAGUGAUUCCGCAAGUAGUGGCGAGCGAACGCGGAACAGCCCAAACCAGGCUUGUCACGGCAAGUCUGGGGUUGUAGGGCCGCGAUGUGGGACCAAAGAUUGAAGCAUAACGUUCUGGGAAGAACGACCAUAGGGGGUGAUAGUCCCGUGUGCGUAAGCUCUUUGGCCCUAGCGGUACCCUGAGUAGGGCGGGACCGGAGAAAUCCCGCCUGAAUCCACCGGCACCAUCCGGUAAGGCUAAAUACUCCUGAGAGACCGAUAGUGAACCAGUACCGUGAGGGAAAGGUGAAAAGCACCGUGAAUAACGGGGUGAAACAGAUCCUGAAACCGUGCGCUUACAAGCGGUCGGAGCCCAUUAGUUGGGUGACGGCGUGCCUUUUGCAUAAUGAGCCUACGAGUUGCUCCUCCCUGGCAAGGUUAAGUGUCUUCGAGGCACGGAGCCGCAGCGAAAGCGAGUCUGAACAGGGCGCGCAGUCAGGGGGGGCAGACGCGAAACUUUGUGAUCUACCCAUGGGCAGGAUGAAGGCUGGGUAAAACCAGUUGGAGGUCCGAACCAGUUUACGUUGAAAAGUAUUUGGAUGACCUGUGGGUAGGGGUGAAAGGCCAAUCAAACUGAGAAAUAGCUCGUACUCCCCGAAAUGCCUUUAGGGGCAGCGUCGCGGUGGAGUCAUGUGGAGGUAGAGCUACCGAUAGGACUAGGGGGAGUCACAUCCUACCGAAUCCUGACGAACUCCGAAUGCCACUUGACAUACGCGGCAGUGAGGCCUGGGGUGCUAAGGUCCCGGGCCGAGAGGGAAAGAACCCAGACCGCCAGCUAAGGUCCCUAAAUUCAGACUAAGUUGAACAAAGGAGGUCCACUUGCUUAGACAGCCAGGAGGUUGGCUUGGAAGCAGCCAUUCCUUUAAAGAGUGCGUAACAGCUCACUGGUCGAGCGAGAGGGCAUCGAUAAUAAUCGGGCAUCAAGUCUGAUACCGAAGCUGCGGAUUGCACUAUGUGCACUGGUAGGGGAGCAUUCCCUUCUGCGGUGAAGGCGUCCCGGCAAGGGGCGCUGGAGCGUAGGGAAAAGCAAAUGUAGGCAUAAGUAACGAUAAUGCGGGCGAGAAACCCGCACACCGAAAGACCAAGGUUUCCUGAUCAACGCUAAUCGGAUCAGGGUUAGUCGGGUCCUAAGGGCGAGGCGAAAGCGCAGUUCGAUGGACAACUGGUUAAUAUUCCAGUACCGGCACGCCAUAGCGAUGCGGUGACGGAGAAGUGAAAGGACGGCGCGCUGACGGAAUAGCGCGUUUAAAGCCGUAGGUAUUGGACCGGUCGUGAAGUACGCCGGACUAGCUGAAAGCUGAAAGUACUCCAACCCCUCGGGGGCGGAGAUCGUCCCUAAUCAGGCUCCCUAGAAAACCCGCUAAGCGUUUAAAUGGCUUGCCGCCCGUACCGCAAACCGACACAGGUGGUCGAGGAGAGAAUCCUAAGGUGCUCGAGUGAAUCACGGCCAAGGAACUCGGCAAAAUGGCCCUGUAACUUCGGGAGAAGGGGCGCUUCCUUGCAGCAAUGCAAGAAGCCGCAGUGAAAAGGCCCAGGCGACUGUUUAACAAAAACACAUGGCUUUGCGAAAUCGAGAGAUGAAGUAUAAGGCCUGACACCUGCCCGGUGCCGGAAGGUUAAGAGGGGAUGUCAGCCGCAAGGCGAAGCAUUGAAUCGAAGCCCCGGUAAACGGCGGCCGUAACUAUAACGGUCCUAAGGUAGCGAAAUUCCUUGUCGGGUAAGUUCCGACCUGCACGAAUGGUGUAACGAUCUGGGCGCUGUCUCAGCCGUGAGCUCGGUGAAAUUGUAGUCUCGGUGAAGAUGCCGAGUACCCGCAACGGGACGGAAAGACCCCAUGAACCUUUACUAUAGCUUAGCAUUGACGCUGGGUAACUCAUGUGUAGGAUAGGUGGGAGGAGAUGAAGCGGCGUCGCCAGGCGUCGUGGAUCCGUCCUUGAAAUACCACCCUUGAGUUGCUUGGCGCCUAACCUCACAGAGUGGGGGACCGUGCUUGGUGGGUAGUUUGACUGGGGUGGUCGCCUCCAAAACAGUAACGGAGGCUUUCAAAGGUUCCCUCAGCACGCUUGGUAACCGUGCGCAGAGCGCAAUAGCAGAAGGGAGCUUGACUGUGAGGCCCACAAGCCGAGCAGGGCCGAAAGGCGGAUAUAGUGAUCCGGUGGUUCCGCAUGGAAGGGCCAUCGCUCAAAGGAUAAAAGGUACUCUGGGGAUAACAGGCUGAUCUCCCCCAAGAGCUCAUAUCGACGGGGAGGUUUGGCACCUCGAUGUCGGCUCGUCACGUCCUGGGGCUGGAGAAGGUCCCAAGGGUUCGGCUGUUCGCCGAUUAAAGUGGCACGCGAGCUGGGUUCAGAACGUCGUGAGACAGUUCGGUCCCUAUCUGUUGUGGGCGUCGGAGAUUUGAGGGGUUCUGGCCUUAGUACGAGAGGACCGGGCUGGACGAGCCUCUGGUGGACCUGUUGUGGCGCCAGCCGCAGCGCAGGGUAGCUACGCUCGGACGGGAUAAGCGCUGAAAGCAUCUAAGUGCGAAACCCGCCCCAAGAUGAGAUCUCCCUUAAGGGCCGUCAAAGACGAUGACGUCGAUAGGUGGCAGGUGUAAAGGUGGAAACACCAAAGCCGAGCCAUACUAAUUGCCCGAGCGCGUCCGGCC
rfam:Pontibacter akesuensis strain DSM 18820 genome assembly, contig: Ga0070223_115